GUAUCAGAAGUGCGAAUGCUGACAUAAGUAACGAUAAAGCGGGUGAAAAGCCCGCUCGCCGGAAGACCAAGGGUUCCUGUCCAACGUUAAUCGGGGCAGGGUGAGUCGACCCCUAAGGCGAGGCCGAAAGGCGUAGUCGAUGGGAAACGGGUUAAUAUUCCCGUACUUGGUGUUACUGCGAAGGGGGGACGGAGAAGGCUAUGUUGGCCGGGCGACGGUUGUCCCGGUUUAAGCGUGUAGGUGUGUGUUCCAGGUAAAUCCGGUUCACUUUAACACUGAGGCGUGACGACGAGGCACUACGGUGCUGAAGCAACAAAUGCCCUGCUUCCAGGAAAAGCCUCUAAGCAUCAGGUAACAUCAAAUCGUACCCCAAACCGACACAGGUGGUCAGGUAGAGAAUACCAAGGCGCUUGAGAGAACUCGGGUGAAGGAACUAGGCAAAAUGGUGCCGUAACU
rnacentral:rRNA from 1 species